AUUGAACGCUGGCGGCAUGCUUUACACAUGCAAGUCGAACGGUAACAGGCCGCAAGGUGCUGACGAGUGGCGAACGGGUGAGUAAUGCAUCGGAACGUGCCCAGUCGUGGGGGAUGACGCAGCGAAAGCUGUGCUAAUACCGCAUACGAUCUAUGGAUGAAAGCGGGGGACCGUAAGGCCUCGCGCGAUUGGAGCGGCCGAUGUCAGAUUAGGUAGUUGGUGGGGUAAAGGCUCACCAAGCCAACGAUCUGUAGCUGGUCUGAGCGGACGACCAGCCACACUGGGACUGCGACACGGCCCAGACUCCUACGGGAGGCAGCAGUGGGGAAUUUUGGACAAUGGGCGCAAGCCUGAUCCAGCAAUGCCGCGUGCAGGAAGAAGGCCUUCGGGUUGUAAACUGCUUUUGUACGGAACGAAACGGUCUGGGUUAAUACCCUGGGCUAAUGACGGUACCGUAAGAAUAAGCACCGGCUAACUACGUGCCAGCCGCCGCCGUAACAC
rnacentral:rRNA from 1 species